rnacentral:rRNA from 1 species
CGGGUGAGUAACACGUGGAUAACCUACCCAUAAGACUGGGAUGACUUCGGGAAACCGGAGCUAAUACCGGAUAAUAUUUUAAACCGCAUGGUUCAAAAGUGAAAGACGGUCUUGCUGUCACUUAUAGAUGGAUCCACGCUGCAUUAGCUAGUUGGUAAGGUAACGGCUUACCAAGGCAACGAUGCAUAGCCGACCUGAGAGGGUGAUCGGCCACACUGGAACUGAGACACGGUCCAG